rnacentral:rRNA from 1 species
UCGGAACGUGCCCAGUCUGGGGGAUAACUACGCGAAAGCGUAGCUAAUACCGCAUACGAUCUACGGAUGAAAGCGGGGGACUCGCAAGAGCCUCGCGCGAUUGGAGCGGCCGAUGGCAGAUUAGGUAGUUGGUGAGGUAAAGGCUCACCAAGCCUUCGAUCUGUAGCUGGUCUGAGAGGACGACCAGCCACACUGGGACUGAGACACGGCCCAG